CCGGUUUUGCACGAGGUUUGCUUGUGGUGUUAGAGGCAGCCCUAGUUAGCGUGCAUAGAUGCAGAGGACUGCGGUGUUUGCUAAAACUCCGGAAAACAGAAAUAAAGAAAUAACCUUUUUGAUGUGCUUUAUCGACGGAUUGAUGUUAAAGAAAAGGAUUAAAACGGAUGUGCUGUAGCUGCACCGUUUCUGGAAAUUUCAAUAAGUUAACGAGCUCUUUGGUCAGGUUUUUGUUUUUUUUUGUUUUCUUUUUGUUUUCUUGUUCUGAUGUUCGAAGGCAUGUGUUCUGGAUUCGUCCCGGCCUUCCAAUGGUUUUGAAGAGGGUUUGGACUGGCGAGCCUCCCUUGAGUUGUUCUUGGACUUUCUGUGGAAACACCAUUUUUUUUCUCUAUACUCUGCGAAUGGUAGGAAAUCAAAUAACUUCUUUUUCCUCGUUCGGAUGAAGACAUAUUUUUUCCCCUCAUCGACAGUGAAAAGACAUUUGUUUAGAGAUCAAAGGACAUUUUAUUUCAUUGAGAAGUGUCAGUUUUUUUUGUGUGUGUUGAUAAGUGAGAUGUAUUGGGGUUUUUUUUUUAUGCUUGAAUAUUUAUUUUUUGUUAUUGAAAGUUAUUGAACAAAGAACUUACUUUGUUGAAGACCAAUGGGAAAAUUUCCCGAAACCUGUUAAAACACAAGUAAUAACAAAAUUUAAAAAUAAUUUCAUUUGUGAGAUUAUAUAUAUAUAUAUAUAUAUUUUUGUUUUAAUUAUUUCACAUUGCUUCAAUCUAACCUCUUGAACAUUGUUAAAUAAACACAUUGUAUGUUCAAUCCA